rnacentral:rRNA from 1 species
AUUGAACGCUGGCGGCAGGCCUAACACAUGCAAGUCGAGCGGAUGAAGGGAGCUUGCUCCUGGAUUCAGCGGCGGACGGGUGAGUAAUGCCUAGGAAACUGCCUGGUAGUGGGGGAUAACGUCCGGAAACGGGCGCUAAUACCGCAUACGUCCUGAGGGAGAAAGUGGGGGAUCUUCGGACCUCACGCUAUCAGAUGAGCCUAGGUCGGAUUAGCUAGUUGGUGGGGUAAAGGCCUACCAAGGCGACGAUCCGUAACUGGUCUGAGAGGAUGAUCAGUCACACUGGAACUGAGACACGGUCCAGACUCCUACGGGAGGCAGCAGUGGGGAAUAUUGGACAAUGGGCGAAGGCCUGAUCCAGCCAUGCCGCGUGUGUGAAGAAGGUCUUCGGAUUGUAAAGCACUUUAAGUUGGGAGGAAGGGCAGUAAGUUAAUACCUUGCUGUUUUGACGUUACCAACAGAAUAAGCACCGGCUAACUUCGUG